rnacentral:rRNA from 1 species
GACGAACGCUGGUGGCGUGCUUAACACAUGCGAGUCGAACGGGAUUUAGUAAACAGAAGCCUCGGUGGAAGAUUACUAAUGAGAGUGGCGAACGGGUGAGUAACGCGUGAGCAACCUGCCUAUGACAGUGGGAUAGCCUCGGGAAACCGGGAUUAAUACCGCAUAAAAUCGUAGAAACACAUGUUUUAACGGUCAAAGAUUUAUCGGUCAUAGAUGGGCUCGCGUCUGAUUAGCUAGUUGGUGAGAUAACAGCCCACCAAGGCGACGAUCAGUAGCCGGUCUGAGAGGAUGAACGGCCACAUUGGAACUGAGACACGGUCCAAACUCCUACGGGAGGCAGCAGUGGGGAAUAUUGCACAAUGGGGGAAACCCUGAUGCAGCGACGCCGCGUGAACGAAGAAGGUAUUCGUAUCGUAAAGUUCUGUCCUAUGGGAAGAUAAUGACAGUACCAUAGAAGAAAGCUCCGGCUAAAUACGUG